rnacentral:misc_RNA from 1 species
AUUUUCUUCAUCUUCUCUUUCUUUCUACUCAUAUGUUCUGUUUCUUAACUAUAGCACAAAGAUCCACUUAUAUUGUCCAUUUGGAUAAAUCUUUAAUGCCUAAUGUCUUUACUGAUCAUCAUCAUUGGCAUUCUUCUACUAUUGAUUCCAUCAAAGCUUCUGUUCCUUCAUCAGUAGACAGAUUUCACUCUGCUCCAAAACUUGUUUACUCCUAUGACAAUGUGUUACAUGGAUUUAGUGCUGUUUUGUCCAAAGAUGAACUGGCAGCGUUGAAGAAGUUGCCAGGUUUUGUUUCAGCUUACGAAGAUAGAACUGUGGAACCUCAUACUACCCACACAUCUGAUUUCCUCAAGCUCAAUCCUUCAUCUGGGCUAUGGCCAGCUUCUGGUUUAGGCCAAGAUGUGAUCAUCGCUGUUCUUGAUGGUGGAAUCUGGCCUGAGUCCGCGAGUUUCCAAGAUGAUGGUAUGCCAGAAAUACCCAAAAGGUGGAAGGGGAUUUGCAGGCCUGGGACACAGUUUAAUACUUCAAUGUGCAACAGAAAACUUAUUGGGGCUAAUUACUUCAAUAAGGGAAUUUUGGCUGAUGAUCCCACUGUCAACAUUUCCAUGAAUUCUGCUAGAGAUACUAACGGUCACGGCACACAUUGUGCUUCCAUUGCUGCUGGGAACUUUGCUAAAGAUGCUUCCCAUUUUGGAUAUGCACCAGGAAUAGCAAGAGGGGUUGCUCCACGAGCUAGGAUAGCUGUGUACAAGUUUAGCUUCAGCGAAGGAACUUUUACAUCAGAUUUAAUUGCUGCUAUGGACCAAGCUGUUGCAGACGGUGUUGACAUGAUAUCCAUUUCUUUUGGGUACCGUUUCAUUCCCUUGUAUGAAGAUGCUAUAUCAAUUGCUUCCUUUGGAGCUAUGAUGAAGGGAGUGCUAGUUUCAGCUUCAGCUGGAAAUCGAGGUCCAAGCGUUGGAAGUUUAGGCAACGGAUCUCCAUGGAUCUUGUGUGUGGCAGCAGGCCACACUGACAGGAGAUUUGCAGGAACUUUGACUUUGGGCAAUGGGUUAAAAAUUAGGGGGUGGAGCUUGUUUCCUGCAAGAGCCUAUGUCAGGGAUUCACUGGUGAUUUACAACAAGACUCUGGCCACUUGUGAUUCAGUUGAAUUGUUAUCGCAAGUUCCUGAUGCUGAACGCACCAUCGUCAUCUGUGAUUAUAAUGCAGAUGAAGAUGGUUUUGGUUUCGCUAGCCAAAUUUUUAACAUCAAUCAAGCAAGAGUAAAAGCAGGCAUAUUUAUAUCUGAGGAUCCAACAGUGUUCACCUCUUCUUCUUUUUCCUACCCGGGAGUUGUGAUUAACAAAAAGGAAGGGAAACAAGUCAUCAAUUAUGUUAAAAACAGUGCUUCUCCCACAGCCACCAUAACGUUCCAAGAAACAUACAUGGAUGGAGAAAGGCCAGCCCCAAUUCUUGCUCGAUUCUCAGCACGAGGGCCUUCCAGAAGCUACUUGGGAAUCCCAAAGCCAGAUAUCAUGGCACCAGGAGUACUGAUUCUUGCAGCAUUUCCACCU